UGGAGCAUAUUCUUGAUGUCUG
rnacentral:siRNA from 1 species